ACUCCUACGGGAGGCAGCAGUAAGGAAUAUUGCGCAAUGGACGAAAGUCUGACGCAGCGACGCCGCGUGGGGGAUGAAGGUCUUCGGAUUGUAAACCCCUUUCGGCAGGGAAGAUGGAACGGGCAACCGUUCGGACGGUACCUGCAGAAGCAGCCACGGCUAACUUCGUGCCAGCAGCCGCGGUAAUACGAAGGUGACAAGCGUUGUUCGGAUUUACUGGGCGUACAGGGAGCGUAGGCGGUUGGGUAAGCCCUCCGUGAAAUCUCCGGGCCUAACCCGGAAAGUGCGGAGGGGACUGCUCGGCUAGAGGAUGGGAGAGGAGCGCGGAAUUCCCG
rnacentral:rRNA from 1 species